rnacentral:rRNA from 1 species
ACUCCUACGGGAGGCAGCAGUGGGGGAAUAUUGGACAAUGGGGGGAAACCCUGAUCCAGCCAUGCCGCGUGUGUGAAGAAGGCCUUCGGGUUGUAAAGCACUUUCAGUGGGGAGGAAAGGUUGUUGGUUAAUACCUAACAGCUGUGACGUUACCCACAGAAGAAGCACCGGCUAACUCCGUGCCAGCAGCCGCGGUAAUACGGAGGGUGCAAGCGUUAAUCGGAAUUACUGGGCGUAAAGCGUGCGCAGGCGGUCUGUUAAGCGAGAUGUGAAAGCCCCGGGCUCAACCUGGGAACUGCAUUUCGAACUGGCAGACUAGAGUCUUGUAGAGGGGGGUAGAAUUCCAGGUGUAGCGGUGAAAUGCGUAGAGAUCUGGAGGAAUACCGGUGGCGAAGGCGGCCCCCUGGACAAAGACUGACGCUCAGGCACGAAAGCGUGGGGGAGCAAACAGGAUUAGAUACCCUGGUAGGCUCUGC